rnacentral:rRNA from 1 species
CGGCGAACGGGUGAGUAACACGUGAGUAAUCUGCCUCUGGCUUCGGGAUAGCCACCGGAAACGGUGAUUAAUACCGGAUAUGACAUCUUCACGCAUGUGAUGGGUGUGGAAAGUUUUUUCGGCCAGGGAUGUGCUCGCGGCCUAUCAGCUUGUUGGUGGGGUAAUGGCCUACCAAGGCUUCGACGGGUAGCCGGCCUGAGAGGGUGACCGGCCACACUGGGACUGAGACACGGCCCAGACUCCUACGGGAGGCAGCAGUGGGGAAUAUUGGACAAUGGGCGGAAGCCUGAUCCAGCAACGCCGCGUGAGGGAUGACGGCCUUCGGGUUGUAAACCUCUUUCAGCACAGACGAAGCGCAAGUGACGGUAUGUGCAGAAGAAGGACCGGCCAACUACGUGCCAGCAGCCGCGGUAAUACGUAGGGUCCGAGCGUUGUCCGGAAUUAUUGGGCGUAAAGGGCUCGUAGGCGGUUUGUCGCGUCGGGAGUGAAAACACCGGGCUUAACUCGGUGCUUGCUUUCGAUACGGGCAGACUAGAGGCAUUCAGGGGAGAACGGAAUUCCUGGUGUAGCGGUGAAAUGCGCAGAUAUCAGGAGGAACACCGGUGGCGAAGGCGGUUCUCUGGGAAUGUCCUGACGCUGAGGAGCGAAAGUGUGGGGA